GGAUGGAUGUGUCCGCGCAGCCUCUGCAUGCCCUUCUGGGAACAAUGAGCCCCAACAAAGGGAUCUCGGCUUUCCCACGCGGUGAGCUCUGUUUCUCCCUCACUCGGGAAAGUGAGGCAGGAAAAGGGGGGCAUUGUUCCGGGAGCCCAACCCCUAGACCACAGAGGCCAGGGCCCUUCCUCUGCUUUAGUCUGGACCUGCCACCUCCAAACUGCUCCCUCUGCACCCCUCUAUUGCACACCCUACGUUGGCCUGGAGAAACUUCUCAGUUUCUGUUCCUUACGGAAGGCACCAGGCAUCUUGUCUCCAGGGGAAACCCCGUCAGGCCCCGGCCCCUAGUUCCUUGGGCCCAGACAUCCCCUAGGCAAACCUGGGAACUACUCAGGCUGAAAGACAGUCGAGGAGUCGCCGCAUGACAUUCCACAGCUCCCCAGACACUUUUUCACAGCUUACUGUCUAGCUGCAGAGAGAAGGCCCAUCAUAGACUCCCAUUCAAGACUAAACGGCGAGAUGUGACUACGGACGUGUAAGGAGUGGGUAACUGAAAACAAGUGCAAAGGUUCAGAGAAGUGCUAGCUCAAGACUCACUUCAGCUGAAACUGGAGGGCUUAUCCGUUGCGAACAACCCAGGAAGCUCUACUUCGCUGGAGCAAAGAAGAGAAGGCACGGAUGAAGAAGAAUCCGCCUAGUUCUUCCACAGGGGACUGUUCCAUCCUCAGUCAUACAUCACGUGAUAUUUUUCUGCAUUUCACCAAUGUCUAACUUUAUGUUUCAGUUGUGCCUUUGGCUUUGGAAGUCAAACAUUCAUUCAAUAAAUAUUUAUUGCAUA